UGAAAACGUAGGAAAAUUUGUGGACUGUAUACACAAAUCAACCAAAAAUAUUUUGUGGUGGGCAAUGGUCAGCAGCCAGGGAAAUCUCUCACAGAUCCAGCAGCAAAUUGGAUGAGGGGGCUUGGAGCUAGCGGUGUGUAUACAUGGAGUGCUGCUUAGUGCUCUUUGAGAUAGUGUACGAGAUAUUUGCAUAACCCUUGUCCUUUCAACAAAGGCUGGCCAACAGACAAUCACUUUUUUUUCCAUGGAUGUAACAUGCAAGUACUGGUCAGAUCUUGAAAACUAACAAAAAGCUGUCCUGAGCUCCAACACCUGCUUAAAAUGAAGCCAUUUCUCUCAAUUUUCCAUGGCAAAGCCCAUGAAUACACAGAUGGACACAAAGU